AAGCAUCUUCGGAUGUGUAUAAAGUGGCGAACGGCUGAGUAACACGUGGGCAACUUGCCCUUUGCACUGGGAUAGCCUCGGGAAACCGAGGUUAAUACCGGAUACUCCAUAUUUGUCGCAUGGCGAAUAUGGGAAAGCUCCGGCGGCAAAGGAUGGGCCCGCGGCCUGUUAGCUAGUUGGUGGGGUAGUGGCCUACCAAGGCAAUGAUGGGUAGCCGGGUUGAGAGACCGACCGGCCAGAUUGGGACUGAGACACGGCCCAGACUCCUACGGGAGGCAGCAGUGGGGAAUCUUGCACAAUGGGCGAAAGCCUGAUGCAGCGACGCCGCGUGCGGGAUGAAGGCCUUCGGGUUGUAAACCGCUUUCAGCAGGGACGGGGCCGCAAGGUGACGGUACC
rnacentral:rRNA from 1 species